GAUUAACGCUAGCGGCAGGCUUAAUACAUGCAAGUCGAGGGGUAGCAAGAUUGUAGCAAUACAAUUGUUGACGACCGGCAAACGGGUGCGGAACACGUACACAACCUUCCUACAAGUGGGGAAUAGCCCAGAGAAAUUUGGAUUAAUACCCCGUAACAUAGCGAUGUGGCAUCACAUUGCUAUUAUAGCUUCGGCGCUUGUUGAUGGGUGUGCGGCUGAUUAGAUAGUUGGCGGGGUAACGGCGCACCAAGUCUACGAUCAGUAGCUGAUGUGAGAGCAUGAUCAGCCACGCGGGAACUGAGACAAGGGCCCGACUCCUACGGGAGGCAGCAGUAAGGAAUAUUGGUCAAUGGACGAAAGUCUGAACCAGCCAUGCCGCGUGGAGGAUGAAGGUCCUCUGGAUUGUAAACUUCUUUUAUAUGGGACGAAAAAAGGCUUUUCUAAGUCGUCUGACGGUACCAUAUGAAUAAGCACCGGCUAACUCCGUGCCAGCAGCCGCAGUAAAAC
rnacentral:rRNA from 1 species